rnacentral:snoRNA from 10 species
CCCUGUAUUCGAAAGUGAUCGCUGGCUGCCUGUGCCCCGGUCAUUGAUAGUGCAGGGAGAGAAGUUGAUGAAAGCCUUUCCCCGUGUUUGGGGGGUCUCCUGUCCCUUCCAGACCCUGGUGCUUUCGUACA